GUGGGAAGGAAAAGUUCCAUAUGGUCAAUGUCUUGAACUUAUUGAUGAUGACUUAUGCAACUGCAUGAGUCUGAAUCUUUUUCGAACACAAGAGAAUUGAUGGAGUGAUAUAAGAAGGUUUCUUUGUUAAUUGAUUAUUCUCUUCCGCUUACAGGGGAUAGCGCUAAGAAUAAGUGCUUUGAUGAACUAAUAGGUGUUUGAAUUUUGUGUUUACUUUGCUCUGCAUAGGGCUCCUUCAGUUUUUUGUAUUCUUUUACUUCGCUCAGUAAUUAUUCUAUUUUCAAGAUAAGAAUACAAGCUGCAUCUGCAUUGGCUACCCUACCAACAAUAGUGGGUGAAUCAGUAAUAACAAAACU